rnacentral:rRNA from 1 species
AAUGAACGCUGGCGGCGUGCCUAACACAUGCAAGUCGAGCGGUAAGGCCCCUUCGGGGGUACACGAGCGGCGAACGGGUGAGUAACGCGUGGGUAACCUACCCAGAAGUGGGGGAUAGCCCCGGGAAACCGGGGGUAAUACCGCAUGUACCACAACCAACGCGAGUCGGGUGUGGAAAAGGCGGGGAUCCUUCGGGACCUGUCGCUUCUGGAUGGGCCCGCGUCCGAUUAGCUUGUUGGUGGGGUAACGGCCUACCAAGGCUUCGAUCGGUAGCCGGCCUGAGAGGGUGAACGGCCACAUUGGGACUGAGACACGGCCCAGACUCCUACGGGAGGCAGCAGUGGGGAAUUUUGGGCAAUGGGCGCAAGCCUGACCCAGCGACGCCGCGUGGAGGAUGAAGGCCUUCGGGUUGUAAACUCCUGUCAGGUGGGAAGAAAUGCCCGUCGGUGAAUAGCUGACGGGAGUUGACGGUACCACCAAAGGAAGCCCCGGCUAACUCCGUGCCAGCAGCCGCGGUAAUACGGAGGGGGCAAGCGUUAUUCGGAUUUACUGGGCGUAAAGCGCACGUAGGCGGCUAGGCAAGUCGCAGGUGAAAGCCCUCGGCUCAACCGAGGAACUGCCUGCGAAACUGCUCUGCUUGAGUCCGGGAGGGGGGAGCGGAAUUCCCAGGGUAGCGGUGAAAUGCGUAGAUACUGGGGAGGAACACCGGUGGGCGAAGGCGGCUCCCUGG